GCGGUGCUCCAUACCGUCCUAGAGGAGCCUGUCCUAUAAUCGAUAACCCACGUUUUACCUCACCAUUCCUUGCAAAUCAGCCUAUAUACCGCCGUCGUAAGCCUACCUUAUGAAAGAAUAAAAGUAGGCAAAAUAGUCAUUAACUAGAACGUCAGGUCAAGGUGUAGCUAAUGUAAUGGAAGAGAUGGGCUACACUUUCUAUAAUAGAACAUACGAAUAGCACAGUGAAACCUAUGCUUAAAGGUGGAUUUAGUAGUAAUGUAAACAAGAGAAUUUACCUGAAACUCGCUCUGGAGCGCGCACACACCGCCCGUCACCCUCAUUACAUAAAUCACUAACCUAAAAUAUAAAAAUACCACAAAAUAGAUGAGGAAAGUCGUAACAUGGUAAGCGCACCGGAAGGUGUGCUUGGAAUAACAAAUAGUAGCUUAAUAAAAGCAUUCAGCUUACAAUUGAAACAUGUUAGUGUAAUUCUAACCUUUUUGA
rnacentral:rRNA from 1 species